AAUGGGGGAAACCCUGAUCCAGCCAUGCCGCGUGUGUGAAGAAGGCCCUAGGGUUGUAAAGCACUUUUAGUAGUGAGGAAGGCUCAGAAGUUAAUACCUGCUGAGAUUGACGUUAGCUACAGAAAAAGCACCGGCUAAUUUCGUGCCAGCAGCCGCGGUAAUACGAAAGGUGCAAGCGUUAAUCGGAAUUACUGGGCGUAAAGCGCGCGUAGGCGGCUUGGUAAGUUGGAUGUGAAAGCCCCGGGCUCAACCUGGGAACUGCAUCCAAAACUGCCUAGCUAGAGUAUGGUAGAGGAUGGCGGAAUUUCCUGUGUAGCGGUGAAAUGCGUAGAUAUAGGAAGGAACAUCAGUGGCGAAGGCGGCCAUCUGGACCAAUACUGACGCUGAGGUGCGAAAGCGUGGGGAGCAAACAGGAUU
rnacentral:rRNA from 1 species